CCUACGGGUGGCAGCAGUGAGGAAUAUUGGUCAAUGGACGAGAGUCUGAACCAGCCAAGUAGCGUGAAGGAUGACUGCCCUAUGGGUUGUAAACUUCUUUUAUAUGGGAAUAAAAUGUUCCACGUGUGGGAUUUUGUAUGUACCAUAUGAAUAAGGAUCGGCUAACUCCGUGCCAGCAGCCGCGGUAAUACGGAGGAUCCGAGCGUUAUCCGGAUUUAUUGGGUUUAAAGGGAGCGUAGGUGGAUGGUUAAGUCAGUUGUGAAAGUUUGCGGCUCAACCGUAAAAUUGCAGUUGAAACUGGCAGUCUUGAGUACAGUAGAGGUGGGCGGAAUUCGUGGUGUAGCGGUGAAAUGCUUAGAUAUCACGAAGAACUCCGAUUGCGAAGGCAGUUCACUGGACUGCAACCGAUACUGAGGCUCGAAAGUGUGGGUAUCAAACAGGAUUAGAUACCCCUGUAGUC
rnacentral:rRNA from 1 species